UCCCUGGUAGUAUAUCGGUUAGUACACGCGCCUGUCAUGAAGAAUAUAGAGAGUGCGUGCGCGCGAAAGCUGGGUUCGACUCCCAGCCAGGGAG